rnacentral:rRNA from 1 species
UUUUGGACAAUGGGGGCAACCCUGAUCCAGCAAUGCCGCGUGAGUGAAGAAGGCCUUCGGGUUGUAAAGCUCUUUUGUCAGGGAAGAAACACCGGCUCUAACACAGUCCGGGAAUGACGGUACCUGAAGAAUAAGCACCGGCUAACUACGUGCCAGCAGCCGCGGUAAUACGUAGGGUGCAAGCGUUAAUCGGAAUUACUGGGCGUAAAGCGUGCGCAGGCGGUUAUACAAGACAGGCGUGAAAUCCCCGGGCUUAACCUGGGAAUGGCGCCUGUGACUGUAUAGCUAGAGUACGGUAGAGGGGGAUGGAAUUCCGCGUGUAGCAGUGAAAUGCGUAGAUAUGCGGAGGAACACCGAUGGCGAAGGCAAUCCCCUGGAGCCUGUACUGACGCUCAUGCACGAA